GCGGGACUAAGGGGCGGUGUGGGGAACCUUGCGUCCCGCGCCGCCGGCUCCCUCCGCCCCGCGGCUCGAAAACGCCCAGAAACAUGGAACUGUGGAAAAAAUCAGCCAUUCCCUUCCAGCCUGUGGAUUGCAGUACGCGAACCUGGGAAAAUGAGGUGGGACCCAUGCAAUCAACUGAAGACGUGAAUAGAAUAAAAAGACUGAAUAAGAGGGAACGUCUCCUGCCUGACCCUUUGAAUCAGAACAUCCGUCUCUUCCUAUCCUCUGACUGGAACUUCGAUGAGUUCUCCUGGUUCUCCAGCUUGCCAGCUGCAGAUCUUGGGACUUCUCAGCCUCCAUAAUCAGGUAAGAAGCUUUGUAAGGUGACCAGUAUGCCACUGAGUCCUGUCUGUGAUACACAGCUUCAUUCAUUUUACUUUAUGAGGACGUCAUCGGUCAGUUCUUGCAAAAUUCCAAGGAGGCAGAAAGGCUGCUUGAUUGAGACUCAUUUCCCCUGGCUGUGGACUGACUUUAUUAUCCAUAAUUAAUGAUUCCAGCGGGAAAGAUGUCAACUGAGAUCAAAAUGACAGAUGGCACACAUACUCCCAGAAUCUCCUACUACAAAUCCAACAAAUCCAGUACACAGCCAACUCUCUUCCCCAGGUCUCCGUCAUCUCCAAAGUCAUAAUGGAAAUUGUAAGGAGUUUCUCUUUUUUUAAAAAACAUUUAUGUAUGUAUGUAUGUAUGUA